GGAGAGCACUCUGUCGCAUACCUAAGCAGAAAGUUACUACCUCGGGAAGUGAGUUAUGCAGCAGUGGAGAAGGAGUGUUUAGUCCUGGUCUGGGCACUGAAGAAGUUGAACCCUUAUUUGUACGGGCAAGAGUUUUCCCUUAUAACGGACCACAAUCCCCUUGUCUGGUUUAACCGGGUCUCAGGAGACAAUGGCAGACAGCUGAGGUGAAGUUUGGCACUGCAGCCUUACAACUUCACCAUCAGCUACCGACCCGGUAAGCAGAAUGGGAAGGCGGAUCCCGGCAAACAGACGUCCCUACUUCUUCCUAGUCCGGUCAUGCCCAAGUUGACCCGCCAAAGGGUCAAGCCGGGUCUGCCGGAGUGUUCCACAAGGGGGGAGCCAUGUGACAGACCCAUCCAUAUGAACUAGAAUUGCUGUGUUCAUCUGUUUUGACGUUUGUAUGAAUUUCCCCAUUGGUAUGCCUUGUUUAAGGGAAUGUAUUUUUUUGUCGAACGGAACUACUGAACGGACGGCCACCCAGAAGAGAAGUGUGCUGCUGGUUAACCUAUUGAUCCCAAUUAGAACGUUGCGGUUAACCACAGACACUUCUCAAUUAAAACCGAAUACAGGGUGGUCGUCGUUCGUAUGUCGAGGCGGCGGCCAUUUUAACCAUGCGAAAGACCAGCGGUGUUCGACGGUUAUUUCAUGGAACUAAAAACUGACACUUUUUCAACCGAACACCGCUGAAGCCGUCGCCCUCCCUUCUCAAUCGACAAAAGUAUGCGAACACCGGCCGUUCAAGAGGUUUAAAGGCACGAAUGGACUUACCCCAGAUAGCCUUCCCAUGGAGUCAAUCGCAUACCGAAGAACUGUAAUAGACUUUUGACUCCAUGGCGAUUGAACUAUGCGUAUGGGAUCUGAGCGCUAUUCGCCAAUAAUAUGCACUCAGAUCCAGGCUAUCUGGGGAUGUGUUAUACGAAUGGCAGUUAUAAAGUUAUGUAUUUUAAUGUUUUCUGUGACUUAUAUUUAAAAUGGCGAUUUGCCUCUGCUCUGGGAGAUAAUUGAAUUACGUCUCAAUUAUCUCCCGAGCAUCUAUGCGGUACUGUAUGGACUGAGGCACUUUGAUCAACCGUUCCACGUGCAGUCUGAACGCCAUUUCGGUUCUCUCACACAUGAAGC